rnacentral:rRNA from 1 species
UACGUAGGGGGCUAGCGUUGUCCGGAUUCAUUGGGCGUAAAGAGCUCGUAGGCGGCUCAGUAAGUCGGGUGUGAAACCUCCAGGCUCAACCUGGAGACGCCACCCGAUACUGCUGUGGCUAGAGUCCAGUAGGGGAGCGUGGAAUUCCUGGUGUAGCGGUGAAAUGCGCAGAUAUCAGGAGGAACACCAGCGGCGAAGGCGGCGCUCUGGGCUGGAACUGACGCUGAGGAGCGAAAGCGUGGGGAGCGAACAGG